AGCUUUGCACAGUGGCAGUAUUGUAGCUGAUGAGGUUUAUCCAAGGCACGGUUAUUGCUAAUUGAAAAAUUGAGGAAUAGUUUAGUAAAACAUACAGAUCUUAAGUAUGUAGUUCAAUGGUGUUUUACAAAUAUCUGUCUGUAGCCAACACCCCAAUCAAGGCAGA
ensembl:snRNA U4 U4 spliceosomal RNA